rnacentral:lncRNA from 1 species
UGGCCAGACAAGGGGUGAGAAGACGUUGGCAGCCAGUGAGGUUAUCACAGUGACUGAAGAAAAUGGGUAGCCCUUUGUAGAGUGCUCAUUGUCUAGAAUUCCCACUUAAAGCAGGCCCUCCAGCAGGCAGCGUGUGCCAGAGAUGCUUGUUAAAUGACGUUGCUUCAGAGUGCAGGUGCAUCUUUCUGUUCCUUUGUGUGUUUUUUGCAGACAAAUAAAUGCUUCUUCCUUAGUACUUGCAAAUGUCACUGUUGAAUAUUUAAUGAGCUAUUGAAUGACAGGCUUGGGGAGUUGACUGGAGACCCGAAAAGAUCCUCUCACUCAUCUUUUAUACAUUAUCUGUAAGUGGACAUUGUCUUUUGGUUGUGACCACAGACCAGUGUCUGGAGAGCUGGCGACUUCUGACUGGGAAUCAGAGAAGCCCCAAGCACUCCCCUGCUCGCUGUAGACUGCACAGCCUCUGUACUGCUCCUUAAAAAAAAAAAAAA